rnacentral:misc_RNA from 1 species
UUGUCACAGAACUUCUGAAUUCUUAUUCAAUUAAUAACCCAAUAUUGUUCAAGAAUCCAUUAUAACAGUAUCUCACAUACAUUUUUACAUCAAAAUGCAAAGUUGAUGUUAGCGUAUGGUGUCUUAAAACACGGAAAAAAAUGCUUUUCAAGGAAAAAUACAUGGCUGCAUAUAAAAGAUUUGCAUAACUUAAGCAAAUUUUAUGACAAACCAUAAAUUCAUCACAAACAUUAGUAGCCCACAAAAGAAAAUUUCAAUCAAAAAG